rnacentral:lncRNA from 1 species
GCGAGGGCGACGACAGCUGCUCCAGCGGAGAUCUGGGCGGUGGUGGCACCAGACUUGGGAGACUCAGCCGUGCCAAAAGCCUUGGAACUAAUAGGUCCACCAACCCCAGCGGCCAAGGCGUCGGCAAUGCUGGGUCCGCUUGCAGCAGGAGCACCAGCAGCGUCACUGGUUCCAACUUGAUUGUUGUCGGUGGCGGGACCGGCGGCGCCGGAGGGUACGGCGGCGAAGGUUGGGAGUCCAGGCUUUGGUUUGCUGUCACCGCCGCUGGGGCUUGCGGCGAAAGCCACGGUGGCCAGAAGAGCAAGGGCAACAAGGACAAUAGCUUGACGUGCCAUUUUGGAUUGUAAGUGAAUUAA